AAUCAAUAAUAGCAAAAUGUAGCUAUAACUUAAAUAUCCAAAAUAAAGAAAUGGUUAUAUAAAUAAUGGAAAGGAUAGUUUACGUUUUGAGGAAAUGGAGAAUAGAAAGAAAAACAGAUACUAACCCCUAAAAGAUACUAAACAAAGUAUAAUGUAUGGAUCCAAUAUUGUUAAAAUUAUAAAUAAUCAUUCUUCAUUAAAAACUGAAUUUCUUGUGGCUGCAUGGAAAUCCCUUUUAAUGAGUGAACUAUGCAUUGUUUAUCGAUGCCCCACCUCUUGUAUAUGCAUGUUGGUUCAGAUUUUUCUAUACAAGAAAUAGUUCUGAAAUACACACAUUUAUAUAUAAAUCUUUAGGGCACAUUUCUUUUUACAGUCUCUUUGAAUAGAUGCCUUGUCUUGGCCAGAACAGACUUUAAGGGUCCUUUGUUCCUUUCUGACCAUGAUGUGUUCUUAAGAACAUGCAGUUAGAAUCUUUCAUCACUCAGGAUGUCUCCCUUUCAAUCCACCAAAUCCCAACCUCUGUUAAGUCCUCAUUCUUUGCACUACUUCUCCACCCUUCCCAGCAUGCUCCUGCACGUGGCGUGUGUGUGCGCACACACACCCACACACACCCACACACCCACACACCCACACACAAGGUCCUCACCCCUUUCUCUGUCUGGGUACCUUCUGCAUGCCUGCUCUCAGCUUAUCAGCCCCUCUUCUCCUCCCAGGCCCUGUAGUCCUGGCUCUAAGCAAUUUCCCUCGCUUACCCCUUGGUAUUCCCAUCUGAAGAUCACAGCCCACAGAAUAAAGGUGAUUAAUAGUUCUCCAUCCUUUCUAUUAUGGUUAAGAGGCUCUUAUCUGGAAGAAAAGAAAAAGAAAGAAAGCAGAGACGGUUCACUCGGGGGUAGGAAAGGAGCCCACUUGGACGGAUGUUGGCACCACUGACGAAGCAAAGGAAGAAGGAGCACCAGCAGGUUGGCAGAAGAGGAUAUGGAGUUCAAUGUUGGACACAGGUUUGGAAAAGCUUUGGGGCAUUCCAAGUCUUCUUUGGAGUUCACUUCCUUGUCUCCUGAUGGCUUUACCUUUGCUCCGGCAUUCCUGCUCUUUCUCCCGGUGACAUUUCCAGAUGAAGCCAAGCAUACCCACUAGAAGAAGUGUCAGCACAAGCAAGAAUGAGAUCUGAGCAGCCACCCAAGGAAAUUCCUUCAGGAAGAGAGAUCAUUGAAAAACCAAGAAACCUUGAGAAUCAUUUUUUAAAAAGCCUCUGGGACCUGGUGAUUACUGGCAUUGCCUAGCAGACCUCACACUGGAUAUAUCUGAUUCUACAGGAAUGUGCCCUUCUAUUUCUUGGCUAUUUUACAACUCUGAAGAGAUACCAGUCUCUCUAGACUCCAUUCCAUAAGUCCUUACCCCUUGAAAAAAUGUCUGAAGAUCGUUUUUUGAUUUUCUGGGAACUGCUACUGCAUUGGAAUAGGAAAAUCGUCAAAAUCUCUAUGGAAAAAUAAAAUCUCUGUGGAGAUACUACAGGUCACAGACAGAUGUCUUGGGAUCUCAUUUCAGAUCUGACAGUAAACUGUGUGAUCUGGAGCAAGUCCCUUAAACUGGUUGGACUUCAGUUCCACUGUAGACUGCACGGCUAGACUUCACUAGAUUACCUGUAAGGCCCCUGCCAUUUCUGAUUUUUUAAUUUUAUGGUUCUUCCUGUGUCCCUCCCUCCAUAAUGGUUCUGGGAGUAUGGCCUGAUGUUGUAACAAAUAUAUUUCAAAAAUUCAGUGGCUUAACCCAAAAGCAUUUGAUUUCUUCUCACAUAAUUGUCAAUGCAAUUGUUCCCUGUUGUCAGGCAGGUUUCAUUGGUGUGGCUUCUUUCUGCAGGACAGUUCUCCAGGUGGCUGAUCCAUUUCUCCCCCAUUUCUGGCUUGUAGUUCUCAAGAAUAUAACUGUAGAAUGUGCUGGGAAUGCAACAUCCUGAGAUAGGGAGGAACUACCUGAACAGCCUGUUUCUGCCUCUCCUAAGGAAUGAAACAUCUUGAAUUAGGGAGGAACUGCCUAGGACAGCCUGGGCUUUGUUUCUGUCUCUGGAAGUAGGAUGUCUUUCAAAGGUUUAGCUUCACGUGGCCCCUGAGGUAUAUGAUCCAGGUGGGCUGCCUUUCCGGGUCCCUCAGCUGUGGUGCUAGUAGGGCAUGUGCAGUUGAGGCUCUAUCUACCCUGGGCAGCUUUCCUGAGCCUUGGAGAACCCACACAAAAUGGAUCCUAGCCUUCUUUUGUCUCUUGCUGCCGUCUGUAAGUAAUAAAUCUGCUUCAUGUA